rnacentral:tRNA from 1 species
GCGGGUGUAGCUUAAUGGUAAAGCGUCGGCCUUCCAAGCCGAUGACGUGGGUCCGAUUCCCAUCACCCGCUCCA